UACAGAGGUCCCAAGCGUUGUUCGGAUUCACUGGGCGUAAAGGGUGCGUAGGCGGUCGGGUAAGUCUGAUGUGAAAGCCCCCGGCUCAACUGGGGAGGGUCAUCGGUAACGGUCGUGCUAUGAGUGCAGGAGAGGGAAGUGGAACUCCGGGAGUAGCGGUGAAAUGCGUAGAGACCCGGAGGAACACCAGUGGCGAAGGCGGCUUCCUGGUCUGCGACUGACGCUGUGGCGCGAAAGCUAGGGGAGCAAACGGG
rnacentral:rRNA from 1 species